CAAGAAGUUAGAGAGAAAAAAUCAAAGUAUAUUGCUCAAAACUCAAGGUUCCAACCUCCAAAGAAAACCCUCAACAAGGCUUUAAAUAAUUCACCCUAAUUAUGGAAACAAAAUAAUAAAAUUCAAAAAUUCUUCGGAUUAGGUGACGCCAUUUGUGAUAGCCUAUCAGGAGGCUGACGACUUAUCACAAAUGUCGUCAGCUUCCUUUAUGAUUUUGGUACUUGUUGUCUACCACUGACGACAAAAAAUGAUGCCCUAUCAACUUCUUGACGGCCUAUCACAAAAUAUCGUCAAGUUUCUUCUUCAGUUCUCAUAUGUUGCCUUAGGUUGAUGGCAUUCUUGACGGUUUAUCAGAUCCUUGAACACCUAUUACAAAAUAUCGUCACAGCUUUCAAUCAUAGGCCAAUUCUCUGACUAUGGCUGAUGAUGAAUUUGAUAGCUUAUCACAAGGCUGACGACUUAUCAGAAAUGUCGUCAGCCGCACUUUUGCCUCUAUCUACUUCUAAUUUCAGCUCCUUUGCUUCCAUUGUUGUUGGUUCUCUAUCAUAUUAGCUUUUACUGCAAAAUCAAACAUAAACCAAUCAAAAAUGACAAAAGUUGCUUAAGACUUCGCAAUUAUUCUUAGUUAAAAGCCUCAAAUGUGUUAGCAUUAGGUCACACAUCAACACCCUCAACUUAAAAUAAUUACUUGUCCUCAAGCAACUCAACACAACUAAGAGAAUACAAGGCACAUUUGACAGUCAAUCAUCCACAUUAUCUCAAAACACUUUCACCAUCUCCAAGGUCAGUCAUUUCAAGUACAAUGAAGAACACCAAUGCAAUACACAGACAUCAGUCUACGACAUUAAUUCAGCUACAUUAACCAUGCAUAUACCAGUAUUACACUCUCCAAACAAGUUAGUAACUAGCAACAUAUCUGGUGUGCCCUCACAGCAAAGAAAUUCCCCCUAUCAUCUCAGUAUUUAUAUAUGUAACCAUGGGGACAAUCAAACCGCUCACUCUCAGAACGAAGUUCUAAUCCGUGUAUGCCAAGUACCAUAGGCUUGCCCUUAUUUUCAUUACCCCAAUCUUCAGAUAAGUCAGCUAGGAUCACUAUAAGACUUCUCUUAGACUUGUAAUGUUGGCUACGGGCUGGUAUGAUACUUGAUGGUAUUUAAAGUGACUAAACUUCCUUGACACUACACUAGCUUUCUGAGGUUUCACUCAUUAACCUUUUUCGCUCUUCUCUUUUCUUGAUCACACUUAUUUAGGAUGGGUGCAGUGUUUUCUCAAUUACUUAAUCUUUUUUUUUUAAAUUUUCUUUUUCUUGCUCUUUUCUUUUGCACCCAGCUUUUUAUUCUUUUCUUUUAUGCUACCUUUCUUCAUACUCAUUCUAUAUCACGCACCCCUAUGAUAGCCACACUCAACUUAGGCCAUUUCCCUAAGUCAACGAGCAAAGUGUCCAAGGAGGAUCAGGGCUAAAACAGGUUCAUUGUGAUCUAAAUGGGAAGGUGAUAGGUUUCAUAAAAAGAAAUAGGCUAAUUAGGCUCAAAACAGGGAUCAAGAGAUAUUAUACACAUAGGGAAGAUCUUUUAGGCUAAAGUGAGUUACUAUCAAAAUGGUCUAUGAUCCUUUCAUAACCCCUAUCCUUCAAUCUAGGUAAGACUAACCGGGCACGUUUUGGUUUCACCACAUCGAGGGAACUAAGUAGUUGCUCACACAUACAUGGCACACAAAUAUAUCACAAGCUACAACUCAUUCAGUUCAUGCAAAUGUUUAGCAAUGAUUAUUAUGUUACUAGAACUAAAGUCAUACAAAGAUGAACGGUGAUCACACUUAAAUGCAAAUCACUCAAUUUAAGGUAGUCAACCACUUGAAGAGGUGUACAAAAAUCACAAAAUAAAAUUCAACUGCCUCAAGUACAAGUAUUUCUCCUAGUUAACUACAAAAUUUUACAACAACAAAUUUACCCUACACUCUCAACGUAAACUCAAAGAAAAUCUAAACUUAGGGUUAGAGUAUACCUGGAAUGGAUCAUUCCUGGGGGUCAUGGGUUGCCUCCCAUGCAGCGCCUGAUUUAACGUCGCGGCACGACUCAGUUAUCUCGGUUACUUCAUACUUCAUCGAGACAGAUAGUAGUGAUACUUUUCAUCGAUUCUUUCGAACCAAUGUAAAGCUUGACUCGUUGCCCAUUCACCUUGAAUGUGCUGCCGUCUUCAUUUUCAAGUUCUACUAUUCCAGAUGAGUAGACUUGGUGCUUCUGUCUUCAUUUUCAAGUUCUACUACUCCAGAUGAGUAGACUUGAAUAACUCUAAAUGGGCCUGACCACUUGGAUUUAAGCUUACCUGUGAACAAUUUAAGUCUGGAAUUGAACAGAAGCACCAAAUCACUCUUUUGGAAGUCUCGUUUCUCUAUCCUCCAAUCAUGGUACUUUUUCAUUUUUUCUUUAUAUAGGUCUGCUCGUUCAUAUGCCCUGAGACGAAAUUCAUCCAUCUCAUUCAGUUGUCCCAGUCUCAGCUCUGCUGCCUCCUUCCAACUCAAAUUCAGCCUUUUGAGUGCCCAUAAGGCCUUGUGCUCCAGCUCUAUUGGUAGGUGGCAAGCUUUUCCAUAGACCAGCUGAAAUGGUGACAUGCCAAUGGGUGUCUUGAAAGCAGUCUGAUAUGCCCACAAGACAUCAUCGAGCUUUCGAGACCAACUUUUUUGGCUAGCAUUCACUGUUUUUGCUAGGAUGGCUUUAAUCUCUCAAUUUGACACCUCCACUUGCCCACUAGUUUGUGGGUGAUAUAGAGUGGCUACUCUAUGCUGUUUCACCCCAUAUUUUGCUAAGGCUGUUCAGAACACUUUGUUGCAAAAAUGAGAUCCUCCAUCGCUUUAAUAGUGUGUGGUACUCCAAAGUGAAAGAAGAUAUUCUUUUUGAGAAAAGCAACAACUCUUUUUUCUUCAUUGUCAGACAAGGCAACAACUUCGAUCCAUUUUGAGACAUAGUCGACAACAACUAAAAUGUACUUCAUCCCAUACAAGCUUACAAAAGGGCCCAUGAAAUCGAUGCCCCAUACAUCAAACAAUUCCACUUCAAGCAUCUUAGCCAAAGACAUCUCAUGCAUUUUGGAGAUUGACCCCUGCCUAUGAUAUUGGUUACAUUUAAGCACAAACUCAUGGGCAUCCUUGAACAAUGUUGGCCGAUAGUAACCGUUCUGCAAAACCUUCCUAGCCGUUUGGUCACCUGCAUGGUGACCUCCAACUAGGGAAGCAUGACAUGCUUCCAAUAUGCACAAUACAUCCACUUCCGGCACGAAUCUCCUUAUAAUAUUAUCUGCACAUCGCUAAAAAGAUACGGAUCAUCCCAGAAGUAAUGUGUCACAUCAUACAAGAAUUUCUUUCUUUGAUGGAAAGAAAGAUUUUCUGGGAUGACCUUACUUACAACAUAAUUUGCAUAAUCAGCAUACCAAGGAAAUUGUUCCACAGGAGCAGCCAAGAUCUCCUCAUCCGGGAAUGUAUUAUUUAUCUCUAUUUCAUCACUAAUUACUUGUUCACCUUCCAUUCUAGACAGAUGAUCUGCAACUUGGUUGUCACAACCUUUCCUAUCUUUGAACUCAAAGUCAAAUUCUUGUAGUAGCAGGACUCAUCUAAUCAGUCUUGGUUUUGCAUCCUUCUUCGCCAUCAAAUAUCUCAAGGUUGCUUGGUCAGUGUGGACCACCACUUUGGUCCCAAGCAGAAAAACCCUUAACUUCUCAAAAGCAUACACUACUGCCAGUUCUUUCAAUUCCAACACUGGUGGCUCCUCAAUAGAUGGCUUGGCUGGUGGUGUUGGUCGAUUAGCAAGGUCAAGGUCUAGCUUUUUAGGGGCAUAAGGAUAUGAACCCAUUCCUGCCAAAGAACAAACAGUUUCUUCAUACUCCCCGAUGCCUUCACUAUAAAAAUUCAUCAUAACCACGGCUAAAGGUUCGACAACAAGUUGCUCAGCUAUUAACACCUCUUGUUCGUACUCAUAAUACACAUCAACUACUAAGAACACACUCAUUUCUUCAUGUUGCUUCAUUGAUUUACACACAUCAAACUGUACCACUUUAUCAUUCAUCCUGAAUAAGAGCCCAUUCGCUCUAAAAUCAAUCAACACACUUUCGGUUGCGAGGAAAGGUCGACCCAAGAUUAUGGGCACCUUAAAGUCCACCUCACAAUCCAGAAUGACAAAGUUUGCAGGGAAUAUGAAGUUGACACCUUCACCAACACAUCAUACAAAAUGCCAAUAGGUCGCUUUACUGACCUACCCGUCAUCACGAGUCGUAUAUUGGUGGGUAUGGUACUUCCCAGUCCCAACUUUCUAUAGACAGCCAGCGGCAUCAAAUUAAUGUUUGCUCCCAGAUCAAAUAAUGCCUUGGCGAAUUCCAUAGUCCCAAUUGUGCAAGAAAUAGUGAAUGCGCUUGGGUCUGGCUUCUUCUGCACCAAGGUUCUUGUAGAAACAGCGCUACAAUGAUGGAGAUUACUCUCUAAUUCGUAGCUCACCGCUCUUUUCUUAGUUACAAGGUCCUUCAUGAAUUUUGCGUAUCUUGGCAUUUGCUCAAGUUCCUCAACCAAAGGAACAUUUAUUGUCAAUUGCUUGAGUACUGCCAUGAAUUUGCUAAAUUUACAUCAUCAGUUUUCUUCUUCAAUCAUUGAGGAAAGGGAGGUGGUGGUCUUGGGAUAGUUUUCAGUACUACCUCCUUCUCCUUCUCUUUACCUCUUUCCGGAGCAGCAUCAGAAUUAUCCAGCUUCUCAGACUCCACUGGACCAUUUUUUUCCCAUUCGACAUCAACUACAGGUUUGCCCACAGAAGGGCCAAGUAAUAUCUUACCACUUCUAGUGGUAAUAGCCAUGCAUGAGCCAUCAUUCCGCGGAUUCUGGACCGUAUCACUUGGUAACGUUUUGCUCUUCCUCUGGUUGAAUGUUGCGGAGAGUUUGCUCAUAUGCUGCUCCAACUGUUUGAUUGCGGUGGAGUGUGAGUGCACCAACUGACUGAUGGAUGCCAGAUCGGUCUUUAUGGUGGUUACACCAGAGUUAGUCGCCUCCACUCCCUUCAAUAACUUAGCCAUCAUGACCUUUAUGGACAUCUUUUCAGAACUUGUUGAAGCAGCCUCACGAUUUCCAGGAGGAACAUAUAGCCCGCUCUUAUCAUUGUUAUUCCUCUAAUUUCCCUGCUCCCUAUCUUUAUAACCUGGUUUAUCAUAAAAGUUCCGACCUUGAUUCCCUUGGUUGUUGCCUCGAAAACCCCCUGAUUAUUAACAUAGUUAGCCUCUUCAUCUGCAUCAGCCUCAAUCCUAUCUUGAGAUCCCACAGUUUUCACCCUUUUCAAUCUUGGUUGAUAGCAAGUGGUUGGUUAUCAAGUCCAUCUGUGUUUUAAGGUGAGCCAUGUCUUGGUCACACUCAUUUUCUCUUUUGCGUUGUUCCACAGUAAUACCUACAGAAGCAAUAGGGAUGGCCACCAGAGUCUCUGGUAUGCUAUGCCCGACUCUGUUUGGUCAUUCUGUCCAGCAUCUCUAAAGCCUCUGGAAAUAUAAGAUCAACAAACAAACCACCAGCAAUAUUGUCUACAAUUGGAUUUGUAACAGAGUUAAGAGCCCUGUACAAAGUCUCCAUCAAAUGUAUGUCCGUCAUGUUGUGGUUCGAACACUGUGUCAGCUUCUUCUUAAAGCUUUCUCAGGUUUCAUCCAAGGCUUCAAUCGGGAGCUGCCUAAAGUUGCUGAUCUCGUCCUUCAACUGUACCCUCCUGGAAGGCGGAAAUAACCUUUCUAGGAAAGCUCCUUUCAACUGCCUCCAAUUGGUUAUAGAAUCAGGUGUCAACUCAUUUAGCCACAAAGUUGCCUCUCUAGAUAGAGACAACGGGAACAAUCUCAAUCGGAUAGCAUUUUGGCCCACUCUUGGGUUAUCAAAAGAUUUACAGAUGGUGAAAAAAUUCACCAGAUGUAGGGUCGGGUCAUCCCCAGGAAAGCCACCAAAUAACUCCUUCAGAUUGAGAAGUUGGAUCAUAGUCUAGGUGCCAACGGUGGAGGAAUGAUUACACCCGUUGUACCUGCUCUGUCCAUUCCAUUAUCAUCAUCAUUGAGAUCAUACUGGAUCGGAUGGUACUCUUGUCUUUCUCUGAACGAAUGGUUCCUGUUAACAUUACGCCGUACUGGUGCGGCUAUCUGCUCUGCACACCUUGGGUUACCAGGAUUCAGCAACUCCUCGUCUUCUAAAUCUUCGUCCUCAGGAUUUUGAUGUCGUGCUUGUUGACCGACAUUCUACACAUUCACUUGAGCUCUAGCUAAGGCUGCUAAUCUGUCAACCUCUUGUUGUUCUGCUAUUCUUUCAAUUUGUUGCGGUUCCGGAUUAGGUGGUAAUAAUGGUUCACCGAAACUUCUGAUUCUUGGCAUACACUAUAAAGAUCCUGCAAUAAACGUAAAACUAGGAAACUUAACUAACAGUCAAUUUGCGCAUACAAGCUUCAGUUUACAACCGUACUCCCCGAUAACGGCGCCAUUAUUUGAUAACGCUCAAACUAGACCUCUCUAAUGAAAAUGUAAGCGAUCGUUGUCAAUAUAAAACCCAACUAGGUUAGAGUCGAAUUCCACAGGAAAUAUGGUGUGAACGUAAGUCGUUUGCGAUUUAAUCAACUAAUAGUUGGAUGUUUCCAAAAAGGGGGUUUUUAGUUUAACAAGUAAUUGUUGGUUACUUUAGAUUCAGUGUUCGUAACCAAGAGUUUAUGAAAAAUCAAAAUUAUGUUCACUAGGGCUUUUGGUACUUGACAGAUGCUACUAGUGGUUCAAGAUUCUCACGGUAGAUAGGACAACAAGUAUUCUUUAUCGAAGUUAUGCUUAAAUGUCCCAAAAUAAUGAAUAUAAUCUCUUCAAAGUAAUUGUUUUCUCAAGCCAAGAAGUUAGAGAGAAAAAAUCAAAGUAUAUUGCUCAAAACUCAAGGUCCCGACCUCCUAAGAAAACCCUCAACAAGGCUUUAAAUAGUUCACCCUAAUUAUGGAAACAAAAUAAUAAAAUUAAAAAAUUCUUCGGAUUAGAUGACGCCAUUUGUGAUAGCCUAUCAGGAGGCUGACGACUUAUCACAAAUGUCGUCAGCUUCUUUUAGGCUUUUGGUACUUGCUGCCUACCGCUGACGACAAAAAGUGACGCCCUAUUAGCUCCUUGACGACUUAUCACAAAAUGUCGCCAAGUCUCUUCUUCAGUUUUCAUAUGCUGCCUUAGGUUGACGACAUUCUUGACGGUUUAUCAGAUCCUUGACGACCUAUCACAAAAUGUCGUCACAGUUUUCAAUCUUAGGCCAAUUCUCUGUCUAUGGCUGACGAUGAAUCUGAGAGCUUAUCACAAGGCUGGCGACUUAUCAGAAAUGUCGUCAGCCACACUUUUGCCUCUAUCUACUUCUGAUUUCAACUCCUUUGCUUCCAUUCUUGUUGGUUCUCUAUCAAAUUAGUUUCUACUACAAAAUCAAAUAUAAACCAAUCAAAAAUGACAAAAGUUGUUUAAGACUUUGCAAUUAUUCUUAGUUAAAAGCCUUAAAUAUGUUAGCAUUAGCUCAAAUAUGAUUUUUCAUUUAUUUGUAAAUAUUUUAAAGGUACUCCCUCCGUCCCAAUUUACCCAUCCCAAAAUGGGAUGUCACAACUAUUAAAAAAACAAUGAUUGAUAAUAUAGCUUUACCAUUUUGCCCCUCUUAAUUGUGUCUUAUUGUUAGUUCCAAUUUUGAUGGAUGGCUAAUACCAAAGCACCAUUUGUAUUUUUAAUAAUGUACUCUUAAUGAUACUCCUCUUUGCAAUAUUUUUCAAGAAUGUUGAUAACAAGGAAUAAUCAAUUACACUAAGGAUAUAAUGAAAAAAAAUUUGUCUUGUCUUGAUAAGUAAGAAAAGACAAGUAAAAUGAAACAACAAAUCAAAAAAUUUAAAAAAAGUAAAAUGGAACAGAGGUAGUAAUAAUUAAAAGUAGAUAAAAGCAAAGGUAAUAGAAAAAUACACAAGUAACUAUGUAGUCGAAACAAAGUGUAGGUAAAGAUAAUAAUCAUAGUGGUAGUAGUAGUGGAAGUAGUAGUAGUAGUAAUAAUAAUAGUAAUAGUAAUAAUAAUAAUAACAAUAAUAAUAAUAAUAAUAAUUUCAUUUUAAGCAAAAUAAAUAAAUAAAAGUAGUAAUAACAAUAUUUCGUAUAUGAUAGUGUAUAUAUAUGUACCUUGUGUUCUUGAUUUUUUGUUUGGGUUCUUAAAAAACUAGAUAUUUGAAACAAGCGUAGAAGGAUGAAUGGAAGUGAGGUAAAACGUUGAUAAAAUUUAAUCUAUUCAAAUGGGUUAGAAUUGAUACACAGUUUCCCUUUAAAAGUAAAGCUUGAGGUUUAGCUAUUCAUAAAAAUAAUAUUAAUUCUCUUUAUUUGAAGAAAAUGUGGAAAUUGUGAUGCUGGUUAUUUUAAAUAAAAUAUUAUUGAGGCAGUAACUAGUUAGUCCAAUAUUAAUAUUGCUAAAGUCCCUUUUUAUUUAAGAGGAAGUCCAUUUAACGAGUCAUGUGUAAAUUGCAAAAAGUGAGGACAUUAAUUUAUUUCGAAAAGAAUCCGCGAAUUCUAAAGCAAUAUAAACACAAGAAGUAAUUAAUAAAAUUACAAUAAUAAUACCGUUUCAUGUUUCAAAAGAAUAACAACAUAGCGCUGAGUAUUAAAUAAAGAGAAAGGACUGAGAGAUACUAGGCUCCUAACGGAGCUUGAGUUUUAAAGUUUAUGCAAUUCCGAAGCUCUGCGAUCCUAGUAGUGAUUGAUCCAAUAGUUGGGUCAAGACAAGUUUAAAUUGAAACUCCAACUCCCAUGUGAACAUGAAAAAAUAUAAAUAUUAGUGACUACUGGAAUAAAAUAUGUACGUAGGAAAACAGAAACCAAGAAUGUAACCAAAUAUCGAAUUAUCAUUACGUCAACUAGGAAUUCGAUCAAAAGAUUUCGCACAUGCAUAAAUGAUAAAAAUCGGAUGUUAUCUUUAAAUGGUAUCCCUACACUUAAGAAACUUCUUAUGCCUUCUUAUGUAGCCUUAAUCGAUUCCCUACAUGAGUAUAAGUUGAAAUAUUUAAACAAAACUAGAUUUUUUAGGCUAAAGUGAUGUGGGUCAUUAUACAAAUUAUUCAACCAUGUUUAUAGGCAAGCAGAAACUUAAGCAAAUCAUUGUAUUUAUUGAAAUUAGUUAGUGACUAACGAACAACCACACUAAUAUGAACUUGAAAAUAAACAAAUCAAAUAGUCACAAAAUCCACAACGAACGGAAGGAGGGAUACAAGUUAUGGAACGCAAUAGAAAAUGAUGAAACUAUUUUUUUUAGGCUCGGUUCAUGAGAAAAAUGGACAGCAUAGCCAUAUAUACACAUCUACUAAACCCGUAUGUAUAUUUGAACCAAAAAUUGGACUCCUCGGACUUACCUUAAUAGAGAUCAACUAUGAACGAGCUGGACUAAUGAACAAUAAAGCAAAGCAUUAUAUUGAUCAUUUCUCAAAACGCAAACACAUAGACACCCCAUGUGGACGAGAGGCACAAGGAUCAUAAGAGAAAAGAGUUAAUGGACUCAAGACUAUUGUACACUACUACUUGAUCCAUAAGCAUGACCACAUUAGCCCCGGUAAGCACCAAUACAGAACCACAGGACAUAAAUGUCAGGCAGGAUACCAUUGUUGUCGUUUUGCCUUAUUAGAGAGAACAAAAUAAAUAAUCAAGGAAACAAAAGAGAAAACAGUGAAGUUCAAGACAAGAAAAGAGCAGCAACAACUAAUAAAGAAAAUUAGAUUAUGCGCCUAACCCGCAACAUCGACAUGGCUUGACUGAAUUUGUACAUAAACCUAUUUUGAGCAAACUAUAACAACAUUAAAAUGGAAGAUUACGGACCUGUUCAACAACAACAUAAACUUAAUCACAAUUAAACCGCAAACAACAUGUUCAUGAAACCAUACAAGAUGAUUACGGACACAUAGAUUCACCGACCUCCUUAUGAAACAACUUUUCAAAAUUAAAAUAACAAGUACCCGCCAACUCAAAGAACAACAAAAUGACAUCAUGAAUUACAAACGAAACCCAUAUAUCAGCAGAACCAAAAUGGAAGGAGGAGAAAUAAAUAAAGUUAAAGGAGGGACGGACUUGCACCUUUUUCAGGACAGUGAAAUCGAGGCUCCGACGUCAAGGUUCCUUUCCGGCCACAAACUCAAAACUCCUAAAACUUCACGCAAAAGACGAAAAAAGUGGAUAAAGAAGAAAAAGCAGUGUUCAGGCAACUUGAUUUUUCGGUUUUCACUUUUGGACUUUCCGACACUCAAAACUAUAUUUUUAAAAUAUUUCUUUCACCGUUGCUUUUACCUGUUUUCCCACACUUUCACUGGCUUCACCCUCCCCAUUUUCUGGGCUUUUUUUUCUUUUGGUUUUGCUCUUACUUUCACUGUUUUUUUGGACACUGCCUUUUUUUUUCUUUUUUGAAGCAUGUCCUUCAUGGGUGAAAAACACACAUAUAUAGCCAAAUCCGAACUUAAAAAAUCCGGAUUUGAAACCCCAAAAUAAAAAAAUAUGGUGGGAAAAGCUUGAAUUUUGAGUUCGAAUCACGCCUCCUCUUUCCAUAUCUUAACUUUUCAGAACUCUUAAAUGGUGGAUUGAACCGUUCUUUUCCGUUAUUCACCGAUUCGGGACUGAUCUUUCUGAAUUACUUGGAUUCACGGGCUGGAGGAGCCGAGUUUGCGGGGAAUCUUGGCAGUGGUGGCAGACGGCUGCCAGCUGGAGAUUAGGAUUUUCCGGUUUGGUAAUGGAAGAGGAGAGGGAGAAGGAGAAAGGGAAAGGGUCCGUUGGUUUGGUCGCUAUUUCGGGGAAAGAGAUGGAGAUAUGAUGAAUGAUUCUUGGGGAAGGGCAAUCACGCGUGAUUUGGGUCUUUGGGAAAAGAAAGAAACGCUUGUUGCUUUUGUGAACUCUUGACCAAUUUGAUCCGUCCGAUCUUUUGAUCGAACGGCUAUCCUAAAAUAAUAAUAAUAAAAAAUAUGUAUAUAUAUAUGGACUAGUUAUCUCUGGUAGUGCUAAGCCGAGC
rnacentral:lncRNA from 1 species